rnacentral:rRNA from 1 species
UACGUAGGGUGCAAGCGUUAAUCGGAAUUACUGGGCGUAAAGCGCGCGUAGGCGGCUUUGUAAGUUAGAGGUGAAAGCCCGGGGGCUCAACUCCGGAACUGCCUUUAAGACUGCAUCGCUUGAAUCCGGGAGAGGUGAGUGGAAUUCCGAGUGUAGAGGUGAAAUUCGUAGAUAUUCGCAAGAACACCCAGUGGCGAAGGCGGCUCACUGGCCCGGUACUGACGCUGAGGUGCGAAAGCGUGGGGAGCA